ensembl:snoRNA
CUGCAUUCACUGACCUUGAAAAAUUUGCUAUUGCUCUUUGGUUUGCAAUAGGAUGUGAAAGAAAAAUCUCUGCACUUUCUGCCUUUGUGGCACCCUGGAAUGAACUGGAGAAUACAUUU